GGCCUGGUGGUGUAAUGGUUACACAUUCUCUUUCAGUAUCGCAAUACUCCGCCAAGGUUGUGAGGAAGUCUCCGGUUUGAAUUUGGGUCAGGCCA